rnacentral:rRNA from 1 species
UGGGGAAUCUUGGGCAAUGGGGGCAACCCUGACCCAGCGACGCCGCGUGGGUGAUGAAGGCCUUCGGGUCGUAAAGCCCUGUCGGGCGGAACGAAUGAGGCAGCGGCAAACAGCCGCCGCCUGUGACGGUACCGCCGAAGGAAGCACCGGCCAACUCCGUGCCAGCAGCCGCGGUAAGACGGAGGGUGCGAGCGUUGCUCGGAAUCACUGGGCGUAAAGGGUGCGUAGGCGGCCUCUCAAGUCGGGCGUGAAAGCCCUCGGCUCAGCCGGGGAAGGGCGCACGAAACGGAGAGGCUGGAGUGCCGGAGGGGAGAGUGGAAUUCCCGGUGUAGCGGUGAAAUGCGUAGAGAUCGGGAGGAAUACCGGUGGCGAAAGCGACUCUCUGGACGGCAACUGACGCUGAGGCACGAAAGCGUGGGGAGCAAACAG